GUUUAUUUUAUCUUUAUCUUUAUUAGCUCUAUACUUCGGUAUAUCGAUAAUCGAGCACUCUACUCAUAUAUGAUUCUAAAUACGUAUUUGGUAUACCUGAGCCUGGCGGCCCUCAUUUGACCCAUUGGGGUUGGGGCCCUCGGGUUCGCCUGGUCCGAGCCCAUGGUAGUUACGCCACUGCCAGACAUGCGCAGAGUGUAAUGGGGUCAGAGGGCUCAAGCAACCACAAAGGAAGCGAGCUUUGCAUUAUACUAUAUACGCAUUUUAUUAUUAUUUAGUUUCGUGCUAUAAGAUGUGGCACUCAUAGAUAGCCUUUUGACUAGCAGCAAAAACGAUCAGGCACAAAUUAUAUACAUGUACAAGUUGGUGCAUGAAAGCUUUAAAUUGGUCAUAUAUUUAAUUUACACAACACGCAAAUCAAUUAAAAUGUUCAUCAAUCUUGUUGGUAAGCCCGCAAAUGUUUCUCAUUUAUCCUUUUCCAGACUUACACAAAUCAGAUAUAUUAUGUCAACUAGACUAAUAUAAAUAGGGACAGGUUUAUAAAAAUACUGAGCGGUUCCCGUAAUUAUCAUUUACAAUUCUAUUCACCUGUUUUCUAAUAAAAUACAUGCAAUAUACUCGUCACAUUUGGCCAAUUUUCUAUCCUCAGUAAUCUAUAAAACGGCAGACGUGUUACACGUGUCCGACAAGUGUCAGUCAAACAUCGAUAAUUUAAGCUGGGCCAACUUUAGCAUGGGAAAAGACGGUUUUUCAAAGUGUUCAAUACCUUUUUCCCCUCUCUGCGUAAAAUGUCAUUCUUCCAGAAAAAGAUCAAACAGUUGAAUGUAGAAUUCGUAGCAGCUACACUACCACUCCAGAAUCUAGACACCCUCGUUUUUUCCGACUCGUGUUCUGCCGUCGAUUUCUCAAGUAAAUCAACCACAAUGAAGACGAACGUUGGAAUGUACAACGCCAGGCAGGCAACUGCCAACAAACAGGUAUUAAUCUUCUUUAUAUUAACAUGCACGGUUGCCUCGGGUAAUGCGGCGUUGUCGCGUCGGAUUUUUCUGGAAAUCUUAAACAAUCUGUAGUUGAUGAACACAAAUGGUGGAAAUGCAAUGCCAAGGAAAAUUAGUGCGGCCACUGAGAAGGAAAUUACUAUGUCGUUCACAGAAAUUGUCAUUAAGAUAAUUGGUAUAAUGAACAAUAUUGCGAGUAGUGUUAACAGUCUGCGUCUAGUUACGGAUGUUCGAUGAAAGAAGGGAUAGUAUGCUCCCAGAUAUCGUUCAAAGCUCAGUACCAGAAUUGCAACGAUAGAAAAGCAAGGGAACACACUCGAAAGUUUUUCAUAAGUCGCGGUCACAGUUAAUGCAUCAUACCUUUCAUUUAACCAUAAGAUUAGGUGAAUGAUCACUAAUGGAUGAUGCGUUAUGACCACAAGGAAGUCGAAGCACGACAACACCAUGAUCAUGAAAUAGCAUAAUUUCUUUCGAAGGUCUGCAGAGGAUUUCCAAAAACUGACGAUCACCAGUAGGUUUAAAACUACUCCUGCGCAAGUAAACAGUAUGUUCACGACGCACAAAACUAUCGACUGGAUGUAAACAUUUAAAUCCAUCUUUCGAAUACUGCCAUCUGCGUUCAAGCAGGAAGCGUGUUGUACAAGUAUACUACAAAAGAAUAGCACGUUUGGUUUUUCGAAAAUAUUGAUUUUUGAAGUUUGCAGUUUGCAGUUCGCCUGGCAGUUUGCGCUAAUAGUUC
rnacentral:lncRNA from 1 species